GGACCUUAAUGUAGACCAAUUUGAAAACGGGACCAAAAAUUAAGAAUCUACAUACAUAGUUAGAUUCGGCAUAUCAAAGAACCCCAAUUAUUCAAUUUUUGAUGAAAUCACACAAAGUUCAAUUUGGACCCUUUGGGCCCCUUAUUCCUAAACUGUUGGGACCAAAACUCCCAAAAUCAAACCCAACCUUCCUUUUAUGGUCAUAAACCUUGUGUUUAAAUUUCAUAGAUUUCUAAUUACUUAUACUAAAGUUAUGGUGCAAAAACCAAAAAUAAUGCUUAUUUGGGCCCCUUUUUGGCCCCUAAUUCAUAAACUCUUGUUACCUCAACUCCAAAAAUCAAUCCCAACCAUCCUUUUGUGGUCAUAAACCUUGUGUUUAAAUUUCAUUGAUUUCUAUUUACUUAUACUAAAGUUAUUGUGCGAAAACCAAGAAUAAUGCUUAUUUGGGCCCCUUUUUUGGCCCUUAAUUCCUAAACUGUUGGAACCAAAACUCCCAAAAUCAAUCCCAACCUUCCUUUUGUGGUCAUAAACCUUGUGUCAAAAUUCAUAGAUUUCUAUUCACUUAAACUAAAGUUAUAGUGCGAAAACCAAGAAAAUGCUUAUUUAGGCCCUUUUUGGCCCCUAAUUCCUAAAAUGUUGGGACCAAAACUCCCAAAAUCAAUCCCAACCUUCCUUUUGUGGUCAUAAACCUUGUGUUAAAAUUUCAUUGAUUUCUAUUCACUUUUUACUAAAGUUAGAGUGCGAAAACUAAAAGUAUUCGGA
rnacentral:lncRNA from 1 species